GAGUUUGAUCCUGGCUCAGAACGAACGCUGGCGGCGUGUUUAAGACAUGCAAGUCGCACGGAAUGAACCGAGUAGUAAUACCUGGUGAUUUUAGUGGCGCACGGGUGAGUAACACGUGAAUUACAUGCCCUUCAGUGGGGAAUAGCCCAGGGAAACUUGGAUUAAUGCCCCAUAGUCUCGCAAGAGUAAAGGUGGCCGCAAGGCUGUCGCUGAAGGAUUGGUUCGCGCCCUAUCAGCUUGUUGGUGAGGUAACGGCUCACCAAGGCUACGACGGGUACCUGGUCUGAGAGGACGAUCAGGCACACUGGAACUGAGACACGGUCCAUACACCUACGGGUGGCAGCAGUCGAGAAUCAUUCACAAUGGGCGAAAGCCUGAUGGUGCGACGCCGCGUGGGGGAUGAAGGCCUUAGGGUCGAAACCCCUGUCGGUUGUGAGUAAAGCCCGGUUCGAAUCGGGUCUGAUAUUAGCAACAAAGGAAGGGGCGGCUAACUCCGUGCCAGCAGCCGCGGUAAUACGGAGGCCCCAAGCGUUGUUCGGAUUUACUGGGCGUAAAGCGUGCGUAGGCGGCAAGAUAAGUUUGGCGUGAAAUCCCCGGGCCCAACCCGGAAAUUGCGCUGGAAACAUCUAACGCUGAGGUACGAAGGCUAGGGGAGCGAAGAGGAUUAGAUACCCUCGUAGUCCUAGCAGUAAACGGUGUGCACUUGCUGUGGGACGGUUCGACCCGUUCCGUGGCGGAGCUAACGCAUUAAGUGCACCGCCUGGGGAGUACGGCCGCAAGGUUAAAACUCAAAGAAAUUGACGGGGGCCUGCACAAGCGGUGGAGCAUGUGGCUUAAUUCGAUGCAACGCGAAGAACCUUACCUGGGCUUGACAUGUUUGUCAUAGUCCCGUGAAAGCGGGACGUCAGUUCGGCUGGACAAUCACAGGUGCUGCAUGGCUGUCGUCAGCUCGUGUCGUGAGAUGUUGGUUUAAGUACCGCAACGAGCGCAACCCCUAUGUCCUGUUGCCACGGAGAACACGUUUCUCCAGCACUCUGGACAGACUGCCUCAUUUAAUGAGGAGGAAGGUGGGGAUGACGUCAAGUCAGUAUGGCCCUUACGCCCAGGGCUGCACACGUGCUACAAUGCCUAGUACAAUGGGAAGCUAAAUCGCGAGAUGGAGCAAAUCCCCAAAACUAGGCUCAGUUCGGAUUGGAGUCUGCAACUCGACUCCAUGAAGUUGGAAUCGCUAGUAACGGCGCAUCAGCUACGGCGCCGUGAAUACGUUCCCAGGCCUUGUACACACCGCCCGUCACAUCAUGAAAGCCGGGAGCACCCGAAGCCUGCGAUUACGUGGUCGAAGGUAAGCUUGGUAAUUGGGAUGAAGUCGUAACAAGGUAGCCGUAGGGGAACCUGCGG
rnacentral:rRNA from 1 species